GUCAGCGUAGCUCAAGUGGUAGAGCACUCGCUUGUCAUUUCGAUGGUCAUGGGUUCGAUCCCGUGGGUAGAUGUGGGUUCGAGUCCCACCGCUGGCC